AGUGGGGAAUAUUGGACAAUGGGCGAAAGCCUGAUCCAGCCAUGCCGCGUGUGUGAAGAAGGCUUUCGGGUUGUAAAGCACUUUCAGUGGGGAAGAAAUCCUCGGGGCCAAUACCCUCGAGGGAGGACAUCACCCACAGAAGAAGCACCGGCUAACUCCGUGCCAGCAGCCGCGGUGAUACGGAGGGUGCGAGCGUUAAUCGGAAUUACUGGGCGUAAAGCGUGCGUAGGCGGAAGCUUAAGUCUGAUGUGAAAGCCCCGGGCUUAACCUGGGAAUGGCAUUUUGAACUGGCAAGCUCGAGUUCUGAAGAGGGUGGUAGAAUUUCCUGUGUAGCGGUGAAAUGCGUAGAUAUAGGAAGGAAUACCAGUGGCGAAGGCGGCCACCUGGUCAGAAACUGACGCUGAGGUACGAAAGCGUGGGGAGCAAACAGGAUUAGAUACCCUGGUAGUCCACGCCGUAAACGAUGUCAACUAGCCGUUGGGAACCUUGAGUUCUUAGUGGCGCAGCUAACGCACUAAGUUGACCGCCUGGGGAGUACGGUCGCAAGAUUA
rnacentral:rRNA from 1 species